ensembl:lncRNA
AAUAUUUGUGUACUGUUGUACUCAUUGAAUUAUUUAUUUUUCUUAGAGACCCAAAUAAAAAAAGAAAAAGAAGAAGAAGAAAUAGUAGUGGAGGAAGAGAUUAUUAGCACUGGAAAACCUACAGAGGGAAAGGCUAAAAAGGGAUUUUCCUGGUUCCGCAAUAUCAAAGAAUGCAAGCUGUGGAACUUCUUUCAUUUUAAAAAACAUGACAAACAAGUAAAGAAUGUGCACAAGUGGGAAGAAAUUGAUCAAGAGGUAUUGGAUGAUUACUGUCCUUAUUCUACUGAAGCCCCUAAAACAUUGCCAACACAGUGGACAAAUAUUGAAGUUGGUAAUUGGUUAUGGAGCAUUGGAAUGGAGGAGUAUGUUGUAAAAUUUUAUUGUAAAGGAAUAAAUGGUGGAAAACUCCUCAUACUGGACAAUCGCUCGCUAAAAGAAAUCGAAGUCAACAGGAAGAAAGACCGCCGGAAAAUACUUAAGGCUAUUAAGAAAAUUAGAGAUUUUUUGGAAAAAAAUCAUAUUUGGGUCUUACUAUAGAAAUUGAUGGAAAGAAGACACAGAACCUGAAAUAUAUGGCAAAAAUGGAAAAUGCAAUUACUUUUGUUAUAUUGAAUUUUCAUCAUUUUACUUGUAUGUUACUUUUGCUAUAUGAACUUUUAAUCAUUUUAUUACUGUUAUUCUGUUAUAAUUAACUUUUAAUCAUUUUGUUACUGUUACUUUUGUUGUUAUUAACUUUUAAUCAUUUCACUUCAAUGUUACUUUUGUUAUAUGAACUUUUAAGGGAUUUACUUCCAUGUUACUUUUGUUAUAUGAACUUUUAAUCAUUUCACUUCUAUUUUACUCUUGUUAUAUGAACUUUUAAGGGAUUUUACAUCCAUGUUGACUUUUGUUAUAUGAACUUUUAAGGGAUUUUACUUACAUGUUACAUUUGUUCUAUGAACUUUUAAUCAUUUCACUUCUAUGUUACUUUUGUUAUAUGAACUUUUAAGGGAUUUUACUUCCAUGUUACUUUUGUUAUAUGAACUUUUAAUCAUUUUAUUACUGUUACUUUUGGUAUUAUUAACUUUUAAUCAUUUCACUUUCAUGUUACAUUUGUUCUAUGAACCUUUAAGGGAUUUUACUUCCAUGUUACUUUUGUUAUAUGAACUUUUAAAGGAUUUACUUCCAUGUUACUUUUGUUAUAUGAACUUUUAAGAGAUUUUACUUCCAUGUUACUUUUUUUAUUACUAAGUUUUUAAUCAUUUCACUUCUUUGUUACUUUUGUUAUAUGAACUUUUAAGUGAUUUACUUCCAUGUUACCUGUGUUAUAUGAACUUUUAAUGGAUUUUACUUCCAUGUAACUUUUGUUAUAUGAACUUUUAAGGGAUUUUACUUCCAUGUUACUUUUGUUAUAUGAACUUUUAAGGGAUUUUCUUCCAUGUUAAUUUUGUUAUAUUUACUUUUAAGGGAUUUUACUUCCAUGUUACUUUUGUUAUAUGAACUUUUAAUCAUUUUAUUACCUUUACUUUUGUUAUUAUUAACUAUUAAUCAUUUCACU